rnacentral:lncRNA from 1 species
CUUGCACCGCGCAGUAAAGUACCUUCCACUGCGUAGGAUUGACCCUUGUGCUGUGCUUGUAUUGCACAUGCGCAGAGUAGCUGGUGGGCAGGGUAGUCCUUGCCCACUGCACAGCUACCCUGCACAGCUACUAUAUACUACUCUUCCAAGGCUACUCUACCGUCUACUACUUAUACUAAACGGCACUUACUAGCGCUUGUACUCUACUGGUUUCAAAGAAUAUGGGUCUAAAAAGUAGCCGGAUAUCAGAACGGUGAUUCUACUGGGCCGUAGCGACAGACUAUGACUGUCACAGUGCAAUGGUGAACUGUUAUUACGAAGUCUAGGAGUUACAAUGCAUGUUUGUAGUCAUUUCUUUUUCUGACUUUUAUUUUUGUUCUGAAUUGUAAAAAAUAAUGAUAUUUUAUGUACAUGUAAAGCUUAUAUUAACCCCGUACUUACUACCCCUUUCAAA